rnacentral:rRNA from 1 species
AAUGAACGCUGGCGGCAGGCCUAACACAUGCAAGUCGAACGGAUCCUUCGGGAUUAGUGGCGGACGGGUGAGUAACGCGUGGGAACGUGCCCUUUGGUUCGGAAUAGCCUCGGGAAACUGGGAGUAAUACCGGAUAAGCCCUUCGGGGGAAAGAUUUAUCGCCAAAGGAUCGGCCCGCGUUGGAUUAGGUAGUUGGUGGGGUAAUGGCCUACGAAGCCGACGAUCUAUAGCUGGUUUGCGAGGAUGAUCCGCCACACUGGGACUGAGACACGGCCCAGACUCCUACGGGAGGCAGCAGUGGGGAAUCUGAGACAAUGGGGGAAACCCUGAUCUAGCCAUGCCGCGUGAUCGAUGAAGGCCUUAGGGUUGUAAAGAGCUUUCAGUUGGGAAGAUAAUGACGGUACCAACAGAAGAAGCCCCGGCUAACUCCGUGCCAGCAGCCGCCGUAA